GGUGGUAUACACCUUUAAUCCUAGGACUCAAGAUUAAGAGGUAGAUGGAUCUCUGUGAGUCCAAGGCCACCCAGGGAUAUACAAGAUUGAAUCAGUUUAAAAGAGAAUUAUAGCUCACAUCUUUUAUCCCAGCACUAGAGGGUAUAAAAGACAGGAGCAAGUAUUCAAUAUCAGGCAUUCAUUCUCCAGCCACGCUGAGGAGAGGUUACAAUCUGAGGCUUGGUGAGAGCUCAUGGAGACAGGACCAGCCCAUUCAGCCUGAGGUAGAGAAGACAGACACAGAGACAGUGCCAUCCAGAAAGAAGAUUAUGCCAUGAAGACAGAACCCCAUAUAUCUUUAUGCAAAGGAGUGCCAAAAAAUGCUGGCAACAUCUCCAGCUGCCAGCCACCACAUACAUCUCCUGAUUGCUGAGUCUACAUUGCGUCAAGGGACCAUGUGAAGGGACUGACCUCUGCCAUCUUGGAUUGUGUAAGAACAUUCUAUGAUGUUUGCACAGUGAUGAAAUACAUCUAACAGUACAUUUCUCAGUACUGCCUGUCCUUGGGUGACACAUGACUGUACUAUAAAAAUUAAAAUCAUUGCAUUGAGUUGCCUGGCAUCAAAACUAUGAUUAACCUCUUUUGGUUUUGUUUCUUUUCCUUUAUCAGCGGACACACACUUACAUUAAUUUAAAUAUAUUUACAUGGCUAUUUUAAUUAUACACAAAGAAUGUUGCUCAUUUGGCAAUCUCAUCUGUCCAGAAACUAUUAUGUUAUGGCAUUUUAUUAUAUAUUAUUUAUUUUAUAUCAAUUUUGUUUUUCUUCCUCCUCCUCCUUUAUUUAGACAGAGUCUCAUGUGAUCCGUGGCUGAAAAUUGUAUCCAGGGAUGUCCUUGAAGUUCUGAUUUGCCUUUCUCCACCUUCUUAAAACAAUGAUUUGUUAUUUUUUUAUAGCUCUGUGUGUGUGUGUGUUUGUGGACGUGGUGAUGUACUUGUGAAUGCAGGUGCUCAAGGGAGCCAGAAGCAUCAGAUUCUCCUGGAUCUAGAAUUACAUGUGGUUUCAGGCUGCCUGAUGCAGAUGCUGGGAACUGAACUUGGGUUCUCUAGAAGAACAGUAAGUGCUUUUAACCACUGAGCCAUCUCUUCAGUGCCACCACCUUGUCCUGCCUCUACCUCUUAAGUACUGGGAUUGUAUGUGUGUGUCCCAUGCUUGACCAAUUCUCUUUUUAAGGCUUGUGGACUGCUUUUUCUCUAUACAUACAUAAAUAUCUAAUGACUCAAACACACACAUUGAGUUGAGCAUUAAAGUUCUGUGUAUUUGUUUUCUUUAUAUUUUUUUAAAGAUUUAUUUAUUAUGUAUACAAUCUUCUAUCUGCCUGUAUCCCUGCAGGCCAGAAGAUGGCAACAGAUCUCAUUACAGAUUGUUCUGAGCCAUCAUGUGGUUGCUGGCAAUUGAACUCAUGACCUCUGGAAGAGAGCAGCCAGUGCUCUUAACCUCUGAACCAUCUCUCCAGCUCCCUGUGUAUUUAUUUAUAUGUAAAUUAUUCUAAAAUAAAAAGAAGCCAUGGGAAAGAUUAUGGGUUUUUUGCAGUUGCAGGUUGGAUGGUGAAUGUAGAAUCCUAUGUGUGGAGUGUCUUAUUGCACCCUAUUAUUUGCUUAACCUUCCUAUACAACCCAUGAAUGUGUUAUGUAAUCCAUAAUCUGAAACCUGUGUUUGUUCGUCACCAUUUUCAGAAAAGUUCACUUGAGCCUUUUGACAUGAAAUCCCAGAGCUGUCACUGUUGUUAGUUCACAAACAAAGCAACACAGCGACCUGUGUUCAAGUGUAUAGCUGUGGUUCAUUUGCUUAAAUGGCAGCAGGACAUUCCACUGAGUAACCCUCUACUGAUAGUCACUAAGAAUGCUUCUAGCUUUUUAAAAUUAAAGUUAGCAUGACUGUGAUAGCAAUGUAGAAAUAAAUUCCUGAGAGUGGAAAGACUACUCCAAGCUUGUAAACAUGUGAAAGAUUCUCUGUCUCUCUGUCUCUGUCUCUCUGUCUCUCUCUGUCUCUCUCUGUCUCUCUCUCUCUCUCUCUCUCUCUCUCAAAAAAGUCAAACUAAUCUCUUCUCUUCCCAAGAGUAUAUGAGAGCACUUAUUUCCCCUACAUCAUCAUCUGUACAGAUUUUGCCUGUCCUCCCACACCCCAAGCAAAUAGAUUAAAUAAAUCAGUUGCCAAACAUUGCAUUAGCUAUUUUAAUGAAUAUUUCUUUCCUGAGUUACAUUAGAGUCUUAAAAAACACAUGUGUUUUUUACUAUAAAGUGGAAAAAAUGGUGUGAAGAGAAAAAAGAUGCCAAGAGACAGAAAUACAAACUUCUCGGCACUGGGGUCAUCAGUGAGUGCUACUUGCUUGGAUAGGCCAGCAAGGAUAAUUUGUCAGAUUUUUCAAAUUAACUUCAUAAGAAUGUUGCAUUUUGUUCUUUAAUUCUUUGACAGUCUGUCAUGGCCUCUUGUAUUACUUUUUAAAUUUCAGCAUUAAAAAAUCAUUUUAUUUAUUUUAAUGGGUUUUUUGAGACAAUGCUUCUUGCUUGUUUUGUGUAUGUACGUGUGUAUAUGUGAUGUGCAUGCAUGUGUAUGUGUUUGCAUGUCUGUGAGCAUACAUAUGGGAUUUGUGUGUGUGUGUAUGUACUUGUAUGUGUUCGUGUUAAGCUAGAAGUUGAUGCCUGGUAUUAUCCUCAAUCACAGGACACUUUAUUAUAAGGCAGGGUCUCUCACUUAACCUAGAGCUCACUGGUUCGGUAAGUCUGACUAGCCAGCUUGCCAGGUAGCUCUGCCUCCUGAGCACUGGGAUUACAGGCAAGCUGCCACAAGACCAGACUUUAUGUGGGUGCUGGGGAUCUGAAUUUUGGUCCUUAGGUUUGUGUACAGGAAACAUUCUAUCCACUGAGCCAUCUCUCCAACCUUAAGUAAGCCCCACAUGUCCCAGGAUGGCUAUGCAUGUGGGCCAGUGUGAGAAACAAAGACCCUCCCGUCUUUAUAAGAACACUGGAUAUU
ensembl:lncRNA